rnacentral:rRNA from 1 species
UACGUAGGUGGCAAGCGUUGUCCGGAUUUACUGGGCGUAAAGAGCGCGCAGGCGGUCGUUCAAGUCGCGUGUGAAAGCCCCCCGGCUCAACUGGGGAGGGUCACGCGAUACUGAUCGACUCGAAGGCAGGAGAGGGAAGUGGAAUUCCCGGUGUAGUGGUGAAAUGUGUAGAUAUCGGGAGGAACACCAGUGGCGAAGGCGACUUCCUGGCCUGUUCUUGACGCUGAGGCGCGAAAGCUAGGGGAGCAAACGGG